GGAGUAACAACCGAACCUAUAGUGGAGAAUUCGUACGGACUGCUCUCUGGUAUACAUUCCCCUUACUCCCUCUCCUCAAACAUUUUUUUUGAGGGGUUGAGGCCUGUAUGAGGCUUAACUGCCAUUUCUGGAGCAACCACCAGAUGGCAACAGACAAGGACUUAUUGUAGGAGAAAAGGAGUUUUGGGUUUCCCAGCAAGGGUUCCGGCUAUUGGUUCUUUACCAUGGCAGUGCCAGUACACAAUCGUUUCCAGGCUCUAGUUAACCUACAUGAUCAGGGUAUGGUAAGACAGGUGAAUAAAUUGGCGGCCUUUAUUAAACCCUCCUCGCCCAACCAACAGACUCUGGCAAAGGCUAAAUCCAGUUAUGCGGCUGCAGUGACUAGCAAGUCACCGACUGGCAGGGCCUUAAUGGGAGCCAAGGCCCAUAGGGACUCUGGAAUAUGCAGGAAUACUCCAGGG